GCGGUGGUAGCUCAGUCGGGUAAGCACCAGCUUCUCUCGCCAGAGAAGCGGGUUCGAAUCCCGGCGCCUACAUGUA
rnacentral:tRNA from 1 species